UCAAAUUUGACUACCUGCUGUAUCCUGAACUGUGAGAAAGAAGCUCUUGCAGUCGCAGCUGCCAUGGAGAAGGGUACCACUCAUCCUAUCGGAAGCUAUCACCCAAUACCAGUUGUGUUCUCUGAGGCAAAGGGAUCAUGUAUAUGGGAUCUUGAAGGCAAAUGGUAUCUAGACUUUCUCUCUGCUUAUUCUACAGUUAAUCAGUGCUGCUGCCUCUUCAAUGUCUGCACUAAAGCAGCCAACCGUUCGAGUUCAGGCUAUCAUUGCUAAAGGUGUACCGAGUCAGAUGCUAAGUAAUUGAUUGUGGCUAUCAUUGCAUUAUUUUCUUAUGAUCGAGUUGUGGCUAUCAUUGCAUUAUUUGCUUCUGAAAAUUUGAGAAACUUCAUGUUGCAAAAACUAUUAGUACUAAAGAAUUAUGUCAACAUGUAAUAAGAAGAAUCACUAUAACAUAUCUGUUGUGUAUGUCUCACAAUGUGGUUAUCUAGGCUAUCAAAAAGUGGUUAAAACUGCUAGUGACCAUAACUGUUUUAACAAGAUUCCUCAAGUUCACUUACUUUGGUUCAGCUGCAGAGUUAGUUAAGUUGAUUUUUUAGUUUUGUUUUGGGUUGGUUCUUUUGUAUUUUGGUGCACGUAUAUAAGUGAACCUUGCAUCAUUAUUUAUGUACACAGAUUUAGAGAGCACUAAGAGAAAAAGAAGAGAGAAAGAGAGAGUUCAGUGAGUUGUAGAGGUUGGAGUUAAAGAGAGAGCAUUAUUUAUGUA